UCUCUUCGGCGCUGAGCCUCGGUCCCCCUUGGUUUCCUGAAACGUUCUUGCCCCAGACGUUAGAGGUGACAGAAUUAGCUGAAGGCUGGGAUCGUUCCUGCCCCACCUUUCUGGGCCCUGACCUCAUUCGCUCCGAUGCGCAGUUGUGUAGAUUCGUAAAUGUGCGGCGGUUGUGCUUGUGUUGCCCCUGGAGAAGGAAGGGGAGGUGUUCAGCGUGUGCAUGUGCAGUGCUUUGCAUUUAAAGUCGAGAUGUUGACAGGGUUAACUUGUUUCUUUGUUUGAGACGUAGUCUUGCUCUGUCG
rnacentral:lncRNA from 10 species